rnacentral:misc_RNA from 1 species
GUGAAUCCUCGAAUUUUUGAACGCAAAUUGCACUCUCCUCGGAGAGUAUGCCUGUUUGAGGGUCAGCCUAUAAAAAAUCUACAUCGUUGCUGUUUCUCGGUGGCGUUCGUCGGAAAUUGGGUCAUCUUAUAUCUUUUGGUUUUAAGCUACUUAAAAUUUGCUUUUUGGUUCCAUGAACGUUUCUAAGAUUUAUUUCUUUACACAUUUAAGGUAUCGAUUUUUACUAACCGUGACCAUCAUAUCGGAUCGCGUCCAUAAUCGUUCCUUAAAUGACCUCAGACAGG